rnacentral:lncRNA from 10 species
ACUCAAGGAAAUCAGCUCAGAGAGGACGUCACCGGUGGCAGCUGCUUCCUUCCAGAGCCGGCAGGAGGCCAGAGGCUCCAUCCUGCUUCAGAGCUGCCAGCUGCCCCCGCAAUGGCUGAGCACCGAAGCAUGGACGGGAGAAUGGAAGCAGCCACACGGGGGGGCUCUCACCUCCAGAUCGCCUGGGCCUGUGGCUCCCCAGAG